UUGAUACUCCGUCCGUCCGAAAAUACUUGUCAUCAAAAUGGACAAAAAGGGAUGUAUCUAGAACUAAAAUACAUCUACAUACAUCCCCUUUUAUUUAUUUUGAUGACAAGUAUUUCCGGACGGAGGGAGUAGAAU
rfam:Triticum aestivum genome assembly, contig: Triticum_aestivum_CS42_TGACv1_scaffold_147550_2BS